rnacentral:rRNA from 1 species
GAUGAACGCUGGCGGCGUGCCUAAUACAUGCAAGUCGAGCGAACAGACGAGGAGCUUGCUCCUCUGACGUUAGCGGCGGACGGGUGAGUAACACGUGGAUAACCUACCUAUAAGACUGGGAUAACUUCGGGAAACCGGAGCUAAUACCGGAUAAUAUAUUGAACCGCAUGGUUCAAUAGUGAAAGACGGUUUUGCUGUCACUUAUAGAUGGAUCCGCGCCGCAUUAGCUAGUUGGUAAGGUAACGGCUUACCAAGGCAACGAUGCGUAGCUGACCUGAGAGGGUGAUCAGCCACACUGGAACUGAGACACGGUCCAGACUCCUACGGGAGGCAGCAGUGGGGAAUCUUCGGCAAUGGGCGAAAGCCUGACGGAGCAAUGCCGCGUGAGUGAUGAAGGUCUUCGGAUCGUAAAACACUGUUAGUAGGGAAGAACAAAUGUGUAAGUAACUAUGCACGUCUUGACGGUACCUAAUCAGAAAGCCACGGCUAACUACGUG